UGCUAUUACUAUCAUUUCGCUGCG
rnacentral:piRNA from 2 species